AAAGGGAUGGAAAAGGAAAAGAGAAAGAAAAAGAAAAGAGAAGGAAAAGAGAUGGAACAGAGGCGGCCGCCAGGGGGCGCCAAGGGCAGCGCGCCUCACGCAUGCGCAGAGCCCGCCCCGGAGGAGCUGCACUGCCCGACCGGCAACACCGCGGGCACCGGGAGCACCGGGAGCACCGCGAGUACCGGGAGCACCGCGAGUAUCGGGAGCACCGAAACUACCGGAACGCCGGUGCCAGCCCCAGCAACCCGGAAGCAGCGCCGCUUCAGCCGCUGCAUUGCGCAGGCGCGGGGACAGAACCCGCCAAUGGCAGCCGGCGGCGCGGCCGUGACGUCACAGGGGCUGUGAGGGAGCCCCGCUGGGGAAGAGGCGCUGAGGGAGCCGGGAGCGGGUUUGGGGAGCGGUGCCAGCUUUGUCUAUCAGCAGAUGCACAGCUUGUUUGUAAAGAAAAUUCAACACUGCUCUCACCUCCUUUCCCCUUCACUGCCUGAUCUCCUGGAGUUUCUGUGGGACAGGACAUGAAACAGCAGAGAAGGGGAUGGCAGAGACUGGAGCAGCAGGGGAGUUCCCAUCACCCUGUGACAUCCACAUGUUCCCAGGGAAUGCCACCCUGGGGCAGUGGAAAGGGUAGAACUGGAUGAGCUUUAAGGUCCUUCCAGCCCAAACCAGUCUGGGAUUCUUUAAUUGAUGAUUUUGUGCUCAGCACUCAUCCCACCUCACCUCCUUCGCAGGAUUUUGCUGGUUUUUGGGGCAUUGGGUUUGAAUAACAUUUGUUGAUCCCCUGUAGUCAGGCCAAGGAGACAAAGGAAGGCCUGGCUUGUGACUUCUCCUGAUUUAAAAUUAAAAUCAAAAUCCAGAGCUCUAAAGGUGCCUCAUUUCCCUUGGCACGGAUAGGUGGCAAUGAUAACCCUUAAACACCUUCCAGCUCAUUUUGUGUCUCUCUGUUCCAUUAAAGAGGUGAAAACUUUCAGUGUGUGAAGAAAACCCUGCAGAGGAGGCAGGGAGAGCCUUGGAGGGAAGAGUUUGGGCAUUUGCUGAGCCCUGAGCACAACUUUGAUCAGGGGGGCAGCGAACCCCAGGCUGGUUUUUAGACACAUUCCACACAAAAUGUUUCUGGCAGCUCAGUUUGGGGUUUUUCUCCUUGGCAGUAACGAUUCUGUGGGGUCACUGAAGCCAAUUAAACAAUACCUGGGGAUGGAGCUAUUUUUAGUCUUAAAAAAAAAAUCAGGAUAUUUUUGGGAGUGAGCACAACUUCCUGCCUGCUUUCCUGUGCUGCUGCUAAAGAUGAUGGGAGUGCUGGUGCUUUUAUCUUUUUAUCUCUGUGCAAACAGCCCCAAAUCCCAAAUUCUCUCAAGGGAGGAGUGGAGCUCCACCUCUUUCAUCAUGAAAACAGGAAUUUGAGGUGCUCAGUCUGGGGUUGCAGUUGGCUCCUGGGUUGCCUCUGCACUUUUUACAGCUUU